UCAUUUAGGUGUUAAGUGUUUCAACACUUUCUCCAUCCUAUUUAAUGCUCCAUAUUACCAUUGACAAAAAAACCCUUACCCCAACAAAAUCUUUCCGUCUUGGUUCAAAUUCGUCAGCCCCAAAUUAUGACAAACCCUAGGAACCACGACGAUCAAAAAGUAUCGACUUGAAGAGCUGUUGUUCGGAUACCAUUUCUGUAAGAUAUUAUUGUUCCUAUUUUCUAUCCUUUUGUUCUGUGAGCUUGCCCUAAAUAAUUUUUGGUUUCCCUUUGUACAGAUAUGAACUUUACUCAUUUCUAUUCUUUCUGAUAGGAGAAUGUUUGAUGAUUGGUUGUUACAAAAUGGACACUCCUGAUUCAGUUUGUCCUCCAAGAGUUCGUUCAAUGCUAGCUUCACGUGCCUGCAGAUCAUCAAACCACGGCGAGCAAAAAGUAGCGAUUUGUGUGAAAAUUCAUCUACAAAAAGUCGAAACAGAGUAAUAUAACGAUUUGUAGCGAUUUGUUCGGAUUUCAAGUAAGUUUUCCUUUUGAAAUUCAUCUAUUUUGAUUACUGCUGUUAUUCGGGUCAUUAUUCGGAUCAUUUCGUGUUUUGUUUUUGGAUGCGAAUUUGAAUGGAACCUAACAACAGAUAUAUGUAGCUAAUUUUGGAGUAUUAUAAUAUUAGAUAUAUGUAGCAAAUGAACUGAGUCAAUUUCACUCACCGAUUUUUCAAAUUGGAAGGACUGAUUUUUUAAAUUGAAAGGAUCGACUUACGUCAUUGAUAUUUUGUGAAGUGUUAGACUGUUAGUGAAUUCAAUUGGUUUUUAAAUUAGUUGGGUUUCAAUGCAAAACUUAUUGCAAGGAAUUUCAACUUGCAUCAUGGUUGGAAAAUGACUCAUAAUUAUUGUUCACUGUUGAGUGUUGAAUAUAUCAACUCAUUACACAUCACAUGAUCAUCAAUUAAGUGAUUUAGUCGGUGCUUCAUUUGAUUGGAUUAUUAUCAAUUUUAUAUAUCCCUUUAAAUUUGUUAACUUUAUUAGUUGAAUUAAGUGAUUAUAAUCAAUUUCAUUGUUCAUUGUUGAGUGUUGAAUAUAUCAACUCAUUACUCAUCACAUGGGCCAAUAGUUGGAACAUUGUCAUAUGUUGGAGGAGAGGCAAAUGCAUAUGUUGUCAGUUUUCUGGUGACUUUGUGACAAAUGAUGAUGGAACAUUGUCAUAUGUUGGAGGAGAGGCAAAUGCAGUAAAUGUUAAUACUGAGACUCUAUUUGUGCAAUCUGGACUAUGAUAAAAUGUCUAUCAAGACUUAAAAAGAAUGAUUGAUUUUCAUGGGAAUUCAAUAACAACAGAUGUCUUUGUUAUGGGCAAUCAAGUUUUCAAUCAUGAUACCUUAAGUAGGCAUGCCAGCGGGUAUCUAUUUCAGCUGCAUUUUUCUGUUAAAUAACAACUGUUUUAUUUAAUGACAACUUCUGGUAAAUGGUAUAAACAUAGUUGCUAGCCUUUAGCCUAUCACUUCAUGGCACAUCAAAACACUGGAAACUCUUUCUUCAGAGGCAUCAAUUAAGUGCCCAUUACUUUUUGUCAAAUGAUUGCAGCAACCUUCUCACCAUUAUAUGGUUGUUAGGGUUGACACUGACAGUUAUCUUGUGCAUAAGUCCAUGUAAUCACAUUAGUAAAACUUGCAGGGAGACUGGUAUAAAAAUCGCCGAGACUGUAAACCAUGUUGUUGUGCCAACAACUGGUGCUGAUUUGACUCCAGUCAACAGAAUCAAGCAGAAGCAUGUCGCUAAAAGAAAAACUGCCAAGCAUGUUACCAAAAGAAAAACUGUUGUACCUACCGAUGCAACACCUUCUCCAGACAACUCUGGAGGACUCUAAAUCUGUAGAUAAUAUUAAUUUCUGCUGACUUAAUGUAUUUUUUUAGGGUAAUAUAUUGUUCUGUUUACCUUAUUUUAGUUUUUGGAGAGCUAAAUUUUGCCUUGGAGAAAUGCGUUAAGAUGUCCUGGUGAUAAACUGUGAAUUUGUGAAGUCUUGUGUGAGUUACACACGGUAUAAGAUGCCUGGUGAUGACCUGUAAAAUAGUGAAAUGACUGAAGUCACACAUUACUAGAUACGGAUACUUAACCCCGACCAUCAAAUUGACAUUAAUUUGUCUCCAUGGCCCUUAGACCUUAAAACUACUUUGCUAGCGUCUGAAUUCUCUCCUCCAUAUCCAUUCUUGAAACUCUUGGCUGGUCCUAAACAUCAUCAUAUUUCUCUAGCGACUUGAAAGCAGCUCCGUCUAUCUCUAUCUCAUCAUCACUACUACCCUCAAUACUAAGCUUGAGCAUACUUGGGCAAUGAAACUUUACGGAUACCAGGUUUGACCUUUGCUUCGAUAGUAGCUAAUUCCUGGUUUGAUAAUAAUUAUUGUCAUUUAGUUGAACAAUCUAUAGUCUCUGAUAGCUGUAUGGAUGUCAUGUGUGGGUGCAAAGCCAAGUUUCCUUGAUGUGAAAUCUUAGUCUCAUAAGAGCUUUCUGUAUAUAUUCACCAAGGACAUCUUAUAUGUGUAUGCAAAUAUAUAAAUUAAUAUAAUAUCAAAAUUAUUAAUAUAUACAUGAACUGAUGAAAGUCUUUUGUUAAGGGAGAAUGCAUAUGCUUAAAAAACAUAAGCUUAUUGAUUCUGGUGUCUGAAAGUCUUUUGUAAAUUACCUGCCACCUGUGUUGACCUAGAUAUGUUUUGUGGUAUUGUGCUCAGGAACCAGUGACGGGCAGACAAAAGUUGUCAGAGAAGGGGAUAAUGGUGUGGCAUAUUCUUGGAAUUUGAGGAAAAUAAAUGGGAUAAGGUAAUGCACAAUUUUAUACUAAAAUAUAUUUUGCUCUUUCUCCCAUGAUUAAUUUCCACAUGCUUUCUCUACUUGUACUCAUCAUUAGACAUUUGUUCUUUCAUAAGGCUGAUUUUUCAUUAAUCUGUCAUCCAUACUUUGAUAGACGCUUUUGUUACCAUACGGUGCUUAUAACUAUGGUCAUGGUGUGAAGUUUUUGAUGCAUCAUGCAUGUGUCCAGUUAUCCACGCAUAGUGAAGAUUAUUGCUUUUAUUUAUUAAGUGAUGUUGCAAGAUUGAGUAUAUGGUAUUGGUAGUGACAAAUAUUGAUGUAGAAAAGGCCAAAAAAAAUCAAGAGAUUAAUUAAUAUUAUAUUUUUAUUUAUGGAUAAAUAAGUUGUUACUAAAUUAUAUAAAUAAAUUAUAUUUGUUCCAUCUUGAAAGUACUGAUAUGCUGGUUACAUAAGAUAGUACUGAUAUGCUGAUUUUUUCUUAUAUUAUUUGUGGUAAAAUAAUAUUUAUUUUUUACAUUAACAUACUUCAUUUGGCUUUAAGAAAUUAUUGUUUUUAUUGAUAUUGAAGGACGACUUAAAAACUCAUUAUAACAUGAGAAUAUAUCUGUCAGUUAUCUAAGCUUCUUUAAUACUCUGCGUCUCUGUUCUGGACUCUUGGUUUGAACCAAUGUUUGUGGCACGGAAGGAGUACAAAAUUUGGGACUGGCUGAGAUGACAUUUUGCCAUUUUUUCUGAUUAUAGCUCAUUUUUUCAGUUUACUUCUUUAUGCUAACUUUCAGUUGAUAGAUCUUCCAAAUCUCUUCAUUCAUUUUAAUUAUAUAAUCAAAAUGAUUUUGUGUCCAGAAAGGGAUGUUAGUCUUUGAUGCAGCUCAGUUUGAUGGGAUCCUGAAAAAGAUUUCAGAGUUCAAUCUUUUUUUACCUAAAAAAGCUUUUCUAUCUGAUCCGGUAAAAAAUUUUUUUGUUGUUGGUAUUUUUACCUUUUAUUUAUUAUAGUAUGUGCAUUUCUUCUAUCAUUGCUAAGCUGAGUUCAAUGAGCAUACUUGGUCGGUAAUAAGUUCGAUUCGUUAGUUAAUCUGCUAAAAUUCACCCAUUACCUUUUGCAGACCAAAUUAAUCUUUCAACAAAACACUCAACCUCUAAUAUCUAACAAACUUAUGGAUGAUUGAGAGAGAGAAACAGUGAUAAUCAAUACCCUCUGUUACAAUUCUGGCUCAAUUCUUAAAUUAAGUAGAUGACUGAAUAACCAAAGCUGUGUAAUCUAAUUUUUUUAGAAGGGACUAAAACUAAAAGUUAGUGGCAUUCUUAAAGGAUUUCCUUCACUGCAUGAAUAUUACUGCUCUGCUUCUGUAAGCUCUACCCUGAAAAUGAAGCCCUGAAUACAUGGUGUUAAUGACUGUCCUUGCCUUAUUUGUAAUUUAUUUGAUUGACUUGAUUUUGGUGAUGACUUAUAUUGACUUUGGAGCACUAAAAAGUAGAAAAAAAUGACUUGAUUUUGGAGAUGUUUGGUAACGGAAGAUUUUGGAUGGUUAUAUUUUUGAAAAAAUAUUUUAUAGUUUAAGGAGAGCAAGACACGACGUAACGAAAAAUUGUUAAAAAUACCUAAAUUUAAAAAGAACUUCGGGUUGAGAUCUUAUAAAGGGUAAUUUGAAAAUUUAAAUAGCUUUUUAUAUCACCAGUCUUCAAAAUACCUUCAAUAAAAUAGUCUUUUGUAGGGGAGGUGCAGAAAAUGAGUAUUAAAAGCUUUAUUAAAAUGAGUACCUUCAAUACCCAUAUGCGGUUGGAAACCAUGUUUUAUUUCCCCCUAUUUUUGAUGAAUGUUUUACAUAAAAGUUACAUUUUUAAAUGUUUUACAUAAAAAUUUGUGGUAAAAGAUUCAAAUUGGAUUUUAAACGGAGUGGUACUGUUAGAUUUUUUUAAUUUGUUAUUGUGAAAAGAUUUAGAAGCAAACACCUUUGUGAGAAGCAAACACUUUUUUAUUGAAUGGGCUUGCUGAACUAUUGAUUAAAAUGGUGGUUUUGUUUAUUUCGGUGGAUCGAGGUUCCAAUUUGGAUGGGUUUGGUUUUUUGUUCAACUUUUAUGGGGUUUAAUGCGUGAUUAUGGAUUUAAUUUUUCUUUUCGGUUGUUCUUCAUGGAAAUUUUUUGGAUGUUUUUUUUAAAUUUUUCAUUAGGAGUUAGGACAAAUUGAUACUCAUAUUAUGUAAGUUGUAAAAAGUUUCUUUUUUCUUUUUUAAAUUUUUUAAUCUUGAUGUUUUUUAAUUUCAGUAGAUUGGUUUAAAUGUACGAAUCAACUGAAUUGCGGUUUAAAUUAAAAAAGAAAUUUAUCAUGAUUUUUUUUAUCAAGUGAAUCAACCAUUAGUAUCAGUUAUACCUUGAAAUCUUUUAACUUAAGUUUCCGAAUAACUUCAACAAUUAAAAAUUCUUAUCUAUUUCAUCAUAAGUUUUCUUAUAAAGUCGACGACAACUUCAGUUUAACUUUGGGUGUUUUAAAUUUGUUUUUUUUACAAUGGAUGUUUAAUUUGUGUUCUCACUCUAUAUCUCUGUCUCUGUCUUUCACAGCAGUAACACACACACACAACAACUUACAAAACAUACGCACAUUUGCACACGAAUGUUAGGUUGUUUUUUUAAAUUGGAUGUCUUUUAAUUUGGCUGUUGUGCCAUGUACUGCGUUUCAUACACACAUUACUCAAAAUUACCUCACAAUGUGGCACUACUAAUUUGAACACUGACUUUGUUUUCAGGUCAUUGCAAUUGAAGGCUGUUUCUUGAAUGAAGGUUCUAAGUUUGUAGUUUGCCCAGAUAUUUUGCUAUAUGCUUGGGUUGAAUAGUUUGAACAUUGGCUUUCUAAUUGUAUUUUAAAAAAAAAAUUUAAACCUUGGUAUACCCUUUUAUUCUCUUUUUGUUAUGGAUUAUAAAAAGUUAAGUUGAGAUAACCCUUUCUUUACAGUAAACAAAUUACAAAUGUAGUAAAGGACGAGAAAAAUAAAUUAGUUGGCUACACUUUGGUCAAGAAAAACUGGAAAAAAAAAUAGAAAAAUGAAAGAGUAGAAAAAAUGAUUUGUCCACAAGUUGAGGUCACUUAUUUUGCCACUAGUCUAAAAACAAUAGUUACAUACUUAGUGUAAUUUCACAGAUCAGUAAACUCUC
rnacentral:lncRNA from 1 species